AGCCUUCUGUAUCCGUGCUGAGAUUUCGUCACACACCAAACCACAAGGGCUGAUGAGACUUCCAACUCAACUACUUCACUCC
rfam:Schistosoma margrebowiei strain Zambia genome assembly, scaffold: SMRZ_scaffold0002512